rnacentral:lncRNA from 1 species
AUGAGUAAGAAACGCGAGUGAUUCUUGAAUUAAAAAGUGGAGACCUCGAACCGUCAUUUCAGUUUGGGAAAUUUUCUGCGCUCGUCCGACGCAAAAACAUAGGCCUAGAUUUUUUGGCGAAUAACUUUCGAUCCCGUUUACUUUUAGCCUCGUUUCUCUAAACGGCAUUCUUCGAGAGGAGUGGUCCCGGCUUAACUCCAAAGAAAUAACACUAAGAGUUUGUAGUCGGAAACAAAAACGGAAGUAGGGUAAAAAAGCUGUCUUCGGUAUUUUUUUGUCGUUCGAAUUUAGAAUAUUUUCAUCCUGAUUUUUUUCUUCAUCGGGUGGCAUUGUGACCCUGGCAACUCAAGCCAGCUUUUUUAAUCGGCUUCCGUUUGUGUUUCCGAUUGCGAGUGUUAUUUCUAUGGAAUAAGGCCGGGACCCCUAAUUCUCCCAAAGAGUGCCCUCUAAACGCGUGACAACCCCGUUUUGUCUUUUCGAGCAAUACUCAUUUCAACAUUACAGAUUGGUGUGGAAGGGCACUUUUCCUGAGAGGCAAAAAUAAAAUAUUGCUCGAUAUGAGUCAGGCGGAACUAUUUUCUUACGGAUAUUGAUGUAAAUGGAACAAGACCGGGAACGGUAGCUCGAUAACAAUCGAUGUCAUCUGUCCCAAGUCAUCCGUUAAAAAAAGCGUGUCUUUUCGUUGGACGGGCUACAGCACGGGCGAAAAUAGUUUUGGUGCGGACGGACAUCCCCGCACGGAACCUCAAUUUUUAAACCGACUGCGUCACUGUCGUUCUGUAGGUAUUAAUUUUAAAUAACGUUUCCAAGCCCUCUGACCUGGUAACCGUAACAGUUUUGGUCAGGUCCAUUUUUCCACUUCUCUUUCCCCCGAUCUCGGAAUCUUCGCGGAGAGGAGCAGCGCCAGCCGUUUGCCAGCGACGAGGAGACGGUGAAUUCUCACGCAUCCUCAAACCCGCACACACGCACGCACCAACACACACACACACACACACACACACACUCGCGCGCGCUUGGCAGUCCGACCCGAAAUAGGUAUAUUUCAUUAAAACAUUUCCAGUCGAAAGUCGGGCUUGAGUUGUUUUCUUAUUCGUACAAUCAGAUAAUAUAAGUGAGACAAAUUAUCGAUAAAAGACCAAUGCGACAGCCAUAUACAUAUAUUGUACGCACACAAACACACGCACAUGCAUGCAUGCGCGCACGCACGCACGCAUGCACACACGCUUGCACGCAUGCACGCACACACUCAGGAAAAAAAGACAGGACGAGAGAGGGGAGAGAGAGAAAGAGAGGGAGAAAAAGAGAGAGAGAGAGAGUCAGCAGCACUUCCCGGUGUGUCCCGUAGGUCUGCGCUCAUAGAAAAAGCUCACUUUGGGCGUAUAUUUUUCCAGUCUAGCGGAAAAUACAAAUCAUCGCCAAACCUUUCGUGAAAGAGAAAAAAAAUAUUUUGAAAAUAAGGGGCAAAGAUGUUGUCACCUCAUAACCCCUAAUCCCCCCUCUCUCCCCUCCAACCCACCCUCUUUCUCUCUCUCUCUCUCUCUCUCUCUCUCUCUCUCUCUCUCUCUCUCUCUCUUUCUCUGUAUUUUAUAAUUUAACUCGCUUGGUCUUUUACGUUCAGUCACGGCUUCCAUCGCCUUUCUUCGGUAGAUUGCACACCACCCC